rnacentral:lncRNA from 1 species
AGUUCAGUGCCUGGCUGGGUUCAGUGUUUUUAGUAUGAACUUGAGUGGGUAUGCUUCCUCCACCAGGGGCCCUUUGGAGCCGUGUUGUUUCAGUAGGGAGUAUAAGACUUUGCCUUCUGCUGGAAGGAAAUGUAGGCUACUGGGAAAGGACAGAGCCAGGUCUGUGUGGAGGUCUGGGGGUACCUGGGAUUCCACAAGGGAUUCCUCUUUGCAGGCAUAUGGUGUCUUUGGUGAAUUAGUUAUUUAAUUCAAUGGAUGUUUAUUAAGAUAUUGAUUAAGCCCCUCCUGGGUGCUUGGCUCUAGGGAAUGAUUCCUUGACCUCAUGGAAUUUGCAUUGUAGCGAGGGAGGCAGACUUGAGGCAAGGAGCGGAUGACAGAGAGCAGUAACAGCUCUGAAGAAAAGCUAGAGGCUGACGAGAUGACCAUGACUUGGGGUGAGGGGAGAGAGCAAGACAAGGACUGCUCUGUCGGGAAGGCCUUUGACUGGGGGCCUGAAUGAUGGAGAGCCAGCCACAUGAAAAACUUAAAAACAGCACUGCAAAAA